AUUGAACGCUGGCGGCAGGCCUAACACAUGCAAGUCGAGCGAGCGGCGGACGGGUGAGUAAUGGCUAGGAAACUGCCUGAUGGAGGGGGAUAACUACUGGAAACGGUAGCUAAUACCGCAUACCAUCAGAUGUGCCCAGAUGGGAGUAGCUAGUGGGUGGGGUAACGGCUCACCUAGGCGACGAUCCCUAGCUGGUCUGCGAGGAUGACCAGCCACACUGGAACUGAGACACGGUCCAGACUCCUACGGGAGGCAGCAGUGGGGAAUAUUGGACAAUGGGCGCAAGCCUGAUGCAGCCAUGCCGCGUGUGUGAAGAAGGCCUUCGGGUUGUAAAGCACUUUAAGCGGGGAGGCGUUACCCGCAGAAGAAGCACCGGCUAACUCCGUGCCAGCAGCCGCGGUAAUAC
rnacentral:rRNA from 1 species